GAUGAACGCUAGCUACAGGCUUAACACAUGCAAGUCGAGGGGAAACGAUGAGAGAGCUUGCUCUCUUAGGCGUCGACCGGCGCACGGGUGAGUAACGCGUAUCCAACCUACCCAUUACAGGGGGAUAACCUUGCGAAAGUAAGACUAAUACCCCAUGGCAUUUUAUGGUGGCAUCAUUAUAGGAUUAAAGAUUUAUUGGUAAUGGAUGGGGAUGCGUCUGAUUAGCUUGUUGGCGGGGUAACGGCCCACCAAGGCAACGAUCAGUAGGGGUUCUGAGAGGAAGGGCCCCCACAUUGGAACUGAGACACGGUCCAAACUCCUACGGGAGGCAGCAGUGAGGAAUAUUGGUCAAUGGGCGAGAGCUUGAACCAGCCAAGUAGCGUGCAGGAUGACGGCCCUAUGGGUUGUAAACUGCUUUUAUAGGGGAAUAAAGUGAGCUACGUGUAGUUUAUUGCAUGUACCCUAUGAAUAAGGACCGGCUAAUUCCGUG
rnacentral:rRNA from 1 species